GUUGAAGAACGCAGCGAAAUGCGAUACUUGGUGUGAAUUGCAGAAUCCCGUGAACCAUCGAGUCUUUGAACGCAAGUUGCGCCCGAAGCCAUCAGGUUGAGGGCACGUCUGCCUGGGCGUCACAUAUCGUUGUUCGAUGCCUAUCGCAUUGCGAUAGGACUUAGGGCGAAUGAUGGCUUCCCGUGAGCGUUGUUGCCUCGCGGUUGGUUGAAAAUCGAGUCCUUGGUAGGGUGUGCCAUGAUAGAUGGUGGUCGAGUUAGCACGAGACUGAUCAUGUGCAUGCUCCCCAAAAUAUGGCCUCUGUGACCCACACACGUCUUUUGACGCUCAUGACGAGACCUCAGGUCAGGCGGGGCUACCCGCUGAAUUUAAGCAUAUCAAUAAGCGGAGGA
rnacentral:misc_RNA from 1 species